GCCAUGCUAUAAAUGGAGAUUAGCAGUGGAUGUUAAAUCUCACAAAUCAAAGUUUUAGCACUAAUAGAGUAAAUUUGUUUAGAUAGUCAUGGCUAAGAUCUCUGCAGCUUCUUUACUUGGUUUCUUCUUGGUUUUGGCUGUUUUAUUUGCUACUCAGAUGGCUGUUGACCGCAGAAGCUCAAGCUCCAGCAUGUACCGAAGACACGGUUAUACUAGGUGGGGGCUGUGAGCAAUGUGCCGCUAGAUGUUCAAAAAAGUAUCCACUAUCCAUCGGUGGGUCUUUAUGUGUUCCUGGAACGGGAACUGUCCAAUGUGGAUGUUGCGUUAUAAUACCUAAGAUAUGAUAAUGAAUCAAGUAAUUUUCUUCAUAGUUGCCUAAAAAGCACAAUAAUAUGUCUGAUGUAAAAUAAAAUAGCUUUGCUACUUACUCUUGUGUCUCGUAGAGAUUUGUAAGUUCGCGAAUGCAGCGGCUGAUAAGACCCACCAUACGAAAUGUUCAUGUCAUCUCGUGUGUUUAUAAAUGGCUUAUCAAUAAGACCCACAAUGGGCACCCUAAUGCCUUUAAGCUUU